CUGAAGGCCGCGUCCGGGUCAAUUGCGGAAUGCAACACCCGAUCUCCCUCAUCACCCCCGACGGAAUGUCGGUGGGCGAGGGAGAGCGCGUCACCGUCAG
rfam:Halogranum salarium B-1 162.HSB1.1_8, whole genome shotgun sequence.